rnacentral:rRNA from 1 species
AGGACGAACGCUGGCGGCGUGCUUAACACAUGCAAGUCGAGCGGAAAGGCCCUUCGGGGUACUCGAGCGGCGAACGGGUGAGUAACACGUGAGUAAUCUGCCCCUAGCUCUGGGAUAGCUCCGGGAAACCGGGAUUAAUACCAGAUACGACCACUUUAGACAUCUCUUGUGGUGGAAAGAUUUCGGCUGGGGAUGAACUCGCGGCCUAUCAGCCUGUUGGUGAGGUAACGGCUCACCAAGGCGACGACGGGUA